UACGGGGGGGGCAAGCGUUGUUCGGAAUUACUGGGCGUAAAGGGCGCGUAGGCGGCUUUUCAAGUCAGGCGUGAAAUCUCCGGGCUUAACCCGGAAGUGUCGCUUGAUACUGUUAAGCUAGAGUGUGGAAGGGGCAACUGGAAUUCCGUGUGUAGCGGUGAAAUGCGUAGAUAUACGGAGGAACACCUGCGGCGAAGGCGGGUUGCUGGGCCAACACUGACGCUGAUGCGCGAAAGCUAGGGGAGCAAACGGG
rnacentral:rRNA from 1 species